rnacentral:rRNA from 1 species
UCCUACGGGAGGCAGCAGUGAGGAAUAUUGCGCAAUGGGCGAAAGCCUGACGCAGCAACGCCGCGUGGAUGAUGAAGUUCUUCGGAAUGUAAAAUCCUUUUGCAGAGGAAGAAUAUCCCGAUUUAUCGG